rnacentral:lncRNA from 1 species
CGCUUAUUUAAUAAAUUAAUGCGUUGUAAAGGUUUAUUUAAAGGGUACAAAAAGUAUGUAAUAAAAAAUUGUAAUAAGAAAAAAUUGUGUUAUACAAAAUGAACAAAAAUAAAAAAAAAUUGUAAAAAAUGUUUUAUAAAAAGAAAAUCAUGGGAAAAAAAAAAAAAAUUAAGUGUGCAAAGUCAUUUACUGGGGUAUUACUGUUGUAACAAUAUAUUUAUUAAUUAAAUAAAUUAAUGGAUAAGUUUAAAUAAAUAUAUAUAUGUAUAUACAAUCAUAUAUGAGUUUAACAAAUUAAUUUUAUUUUGUGGUUAUAAAAAAAAUGAAAAAAAAAAUAGCUACUACAACAUAAAGAGAUGUUGUUUACGCGUCUAUAAAUGUUGUUAACCUUUGACAAAAAAAAAAAAAAUAUAUAUAUAUAUAUAUAUAUAUGUAUAUAUGUAUAUAUAUAUAUACAUACAUUUACAACUAAAUAAUUUUAUUUUUAUCGGAAUUAAGUAAAAAAAUAAAGUAAUUAAAAAAUAGUUAAAUAUAAUAAAAGUUUUAAUUCGAUUUUUUUUUUUUUUUUUUUUUUUUUUUUUUUUUUUUUUUUUUUUUUUUCAUUUGAAUUUCUUUCAAAAAAAAAUAUACUUUUUAUAAAAAAAUAUAUAUGUGUAUAUAUGUAAAUUAUACAUUAUUACAAAGGUGGCAACAUUAAAUUAUUAUGUUUUAGGUAUAAUUAAAAUAUUAAUUUACUUUUUAAUAAACCCAAAAUAAUUAUGGGGAAUGCUUGUUGUGCAGGAAGAGAUUUACUUUAUAAAAAUAAACUACAUGAGUUUGGUGUAGAGGGGUCAAAGACAAUAAGGAAUUUAUUAUCAUUUACAAGUAAUGAUAUUAUAAGAUUCGAUAAGGCAUAUGAUGAAAAUAAUGUUCAAGAAUUUGUGAAAUUAUGUUCUUCUAGCUGCGAGAUUGAAAAGUUAGAGGACAGAAUGCAUCCCUGGGCUGCCGACCCCAAAACAAUUGGAGCAUUAGCAGCAACACAAUUAGCAAUAUUGGCUAGUAAAGAAAAUGAGCCACAUUAUAAAGAUGCAAUACGUGAAGCUAAUGGAAUACCUGUCUUUAUUAAUUUGUUAAAAUCACAUGAAUUGGAUAGAGUACAUGCCGCAGUUGUUGCUUUAUCAUUUUUAUCAGUUGAUAGUAAGAUCAAAUUAAAUAAAUAAAAUACUACAAAUUUUAUAUGUGUAUGACUUUU